rnacentral:rRNA from 1 species
AUGUAUUGCGAAGAUGAGGAAGAAGAGGUUGACAUUGCGGAGGAGCCAUUGUUUAUCGAUGAGCUGGCCCAAAGAGCCGAGGCACAAAGGAGGAAGCAAAGCAUUCGCACAGGAUCAUACAACAAAGAAGAGGGCACGUUGAUUUGCGAGAGUUGGAUGGAGAUAGGCCAAGAUCCCAAGACCGGUGCCGAGCAAAAAGGAUCCGUCUUUUCGACGAGAGUUCAUAAAACCUUUCACGAACGGAGGAAGUUUGCGCCCUACAAGCUUGCGAGCAACCGUGGCAUCAACUCAAUCCAAAAGAGAUGGGGUUUCAUUCAACAAGAAUGCAAUAAGUAUUGUGCCGAUCUUGAGAGCAUUGAAGCCCGUCCCGUGAGUGGCCUAGGCGCGGUGACUUGA